rnacentral:rRNA from 1 species
CUUGAGAGCGGCGGACGGGUGAGUAAUGCCUAGGAAUCUGCCUGGUAGUGGGGGAUAACGUUCGGAAACGGACGCUAAUACCGCAUACGUCCUACGGGAGAAAGCAGGGGACCUUCGGGCCUUGCGCUAUCAGAUGAGCCUAGGUCGGAUUAGCUAGUUGGUGGGGUAAUGGCUCACCAAGGCGACGAUCCGUAACUGGUCUGAGAGGAUGAUCAGUCACACUGGAACUGAGACACGGUCCAGACUCCUACGGGAGGCAGCAGUGGGGAAUAUUGGACAAUGGGCGAAAGCCUGAUCCAGCCAUGCCGCGUGUGUGAAGAAGGUCUUCGGAUUGUAAAGCACUUUAAGUUGGGAGGAAGGGCAGUAAAUUAAUACUUUGCUGUUUUGACGUUACCGACAGAAUAAGCACCGGCUAACUCUGUGCCANCAGCCGCGGUAAUACAGAGGGUGCAAGCGUUAAUCGGAAUUACUGGGCGUAAAGCGCGCGUAGGUGGUUCGUUAAGUUGGAUGUGAAAUCCCCGGGCUCAACCUGGGAACUGCAUUUCAAAACUGACGAGCUAGAGUAUGGGAGAGGGUGGGUGGAAAUUUCCCUGUGUAGCGGUGAAAUGCGUAGAUAUNGGAAGGGAACACNAGUGGCGAAGGCGACCACCUGGACUGAUACUGACACUGAGGUGCGAAAGCGUGGGAGCAAACAGGAUUAGAUACCCUGGUAGUCCACGCCGUAACGAUGUCAACUAGCCG